CAAGACAGACUGUAUAUUCAGAGAAACUGGAAUAUUAUUUCUUUCAACAAUUUAUAUACCGCUUGGAGGCAGUAAGCUUCUGAGUACCAAUAUGACUCUGGAACUUGAAAAAGACACUUCUUUGUUAGAUGUAAGCUAUGGGGAAGAUGGGACACGGGUGGCGCUGUGGGUUAAACCACAGAGCCUAGGGCUUGCCGAUCAGAAGGUUGGCGGUUCGAAUCCCCAUGACGGGGUGAGCUCCCGUUGCUCGGUCCCUGCUCCUCCCAACCUAGCAGUUCAAAGCACGUCAAAGUGCAAGUAGAUAAAUAGGUACCGCUGCAGCAGAAAGGUAAACAGCGUUUCCGUGCGCUGCUCUGGUUCGCCAGAAGCGGCUUAGUCAUGCUGGCCACAUGACCCGGAAGCUGUACGCCGGCUCCCUCGGCCAAUAAAGCGGGAUGAGAACUGCAACCCCAGAGUCGGCCACGACUGGACCUAAUGGUCAGGGGUCCCUUUUUAUGGAGAAGAUUGGAUACAAAGUGUGGAAGUAAACAUUCCAAACUGCCAAUCCCAAAGGAAUUAACUAGCAAGAUUUUUAAAAAACGAAUGGACAAACAAAUACAUUUCGUUGUUUCCUGCAGGUUUGAAAACAACUUUGAAUUACAGCAAAUUUAUUCAGUAGUACUGAUGGAUCACACCAAAGGUCCCAUCUAGUCCAGCAUCCUUUUUCUAAAAAUGAAAAAGCCUUUUUGGGGGAAAUAAUAUGCUUUAAAUGUAUGGUGUGUAUGAAGCCUAAAAGAAUAAAUUGGGUUGGCUGACUGAAUACAGGAAUACACUGAGGAAAGAAAUGCAAGUACAUCGAUUUGAUUUUUUUUAAUGUAACUUUUGUGUAAGAUGCCUAAAUCCAGUACAAGCUCAUCCAUAGUUUAAUCAUCAGUUAGUCCUUGUUCAUCUAAAAUUCAUUAGGAACCAUAAGCAAGUAUGGACUUUGGCGCUUAUUUGUUUAUUAAAAUUUAAUUUCCCUAAUUGCUUCUGGAAGACAUGCAAUUCAUUAUAAUCGUUGAUUAGCCUGAUCGCUUGCUCUGAUUUUCAUGAGACAAUCCUACACAUUUAUAAAGGCAGGGUGCUUUAUAUAACAUCCCCUGCAAUUAGAUUUGGGUUUAUAUUUCCAGCAGCGCUUCUUGCUUCCAAUGUAAUAUUUUAAUGCCAAAUUGGAUGCACAGUAAAAUACCUCCCUUAUAAAAGAAAGCAUAAUAUGAUGUGUGGGACAACCACCGCCAUCUGUCAACAUUUUGUCUUGGACUUUGACAUUAGCAUAGCCUCAGUCUAUCCCACAUUUUGUUUAUUAUAGAUACUCUGUUCUUCUUCCAAGGAACUCAUAAAAUUCCUACAUAUGAAGCAUCUCAUCCAGGCCAGUUACCCAUAAAGCUUACACAAGAGUUCUUAGGAACCUUCUCAUCAACCUGCCUAAUUUCAUCAGUAGAAUGGUUUCACCGUGUUUGGAGCUCAAUACACUUGGUACACGCGUGUUUACUUCCCUAAGAAACCUAAAAUAGUAUGCACUCCGACUGAACUCUAUCCAAACUUGCCACCUACUCUAACCAAAGAAACACAUAUGCAGAGCAGUAGUCUUGGUUUGUCAUCACAGUGGACUGAUGUCUGUCGCCAUGGACUGGCUGGGUGCAGAGGAGUGGUGAGGCACCAGCUGGGGAAACCCCAAGGGAACCCUUGGGGGAAGAAGGCUCAGAGCCAGGGGAUUGGUGGUGGGACGAUGCUAAGUGGUCAGAGGGAGAAGAGGGAGCAGACUGGGAGGAGGAAGCUGAAAAGGACAUAGGGUCUAAUGAGCAGGAAGAGGCUGUGGCAGAGGACAGUUCAGAUCAGGAGGUGGAAGCAGAGGCUGGAGAGGAGUGGGGGCAGGCUUCUGAAGAAUCCAGGGGGUCUCCCUCUCCUGCUAUGACCAGCUUUUCUCCCCACAGCCUCCCAGAACACCGAGAGGAAUGAAGAGGGUGGAGGAAAGAGAGAUAAAACCAAGGUGCUUCAAGUUGCUGGGGAAGGACCCAGGGGAGGAGUCCUAGUGGCGGACAGGUGGAGACCUUCAGUCCUCGCAACUGCCUCACUUGGGCAAGACCCACUGGGAAGAAUUGCUGUGAUCUCUAGGCUUGCACUGUUUUGGUUCCUUUGAAAAAAGAGUUAACUACACUGGAUGUUUUAUUGCUGACCUGCACCUGAGGAUGAAGCUACACUCGGGGUGGGACGGAACCACUAUAAAUAAAUCAGAAAUUAAUUUAAGGAUGAAAAAAAUGCAUUCUGGCCUUACAGUCCAUUUUC
rnacentral:lncRNA from 1 species